GGAUUAGAUACCCUGGUAGUCCACACCGUAAACGAUGAAUGCUAGUUGUCUGCAUGCAUGCAUGUAGGUGACGCAGUUAACACAUUAAGCAUUCCGCCUGGGGAGUACGGCCGCAAGGUUAAAACUCAAAGAAAUUGACGGGGGCCCGCACAAGCGGUGGAGCAUGUGGUUUAAUUCGAAGCAACGCGCAGAACCUUACCUACCCUUGACAUGCCUGGAUGUGAUCAGAGAUGAGAUCGUUCCUUCGGGACCAGUGCACAGGUGCUGCAUGGCUGUCGUCAGCUCGUGCCG
rnacentral:rRNA from 1 species